rnacentral:rRNA from 1 species
GACGUAGGAGGCGAGCGUUAUCCGGAUUUAUUGGGCGUAAAGAGCUCGUAGGCGGUUCGGUAAGUCGGGUGUGAAAACUCUGGGCUCAACCCAGAGAGGCCACCCGAUACUGCUGUGACUAGAGUGCGGUAGGGGAGCGGGGAAUUCCUGGUGUAGCGGUGAAAUGCGCAGAUAUCAGGAGGAACACCGGUGGCGAAGGCGGCGACCUGGGUAGAUACUGACACUCAGGUGCGAAAGCGUGGGGAGCAAACAGG